rnacentral:rRNA from 1 species
GAGUUUGAUCCUGGCUCAGGACGAACGCUGGCGGCGUGCUUAACACAUGCAAGUCGAACGGUGAUGUCAGAGCUUGCUCUGGCGGAUCAGUGGCGAACGGGUGAGUAACACGUGAGUAACCUGCCCCCGACUCUGGGAUAACUGCUAGAAAUGGUAGCUAAUACCGGAUAUGACGAUUGGCCGCAUGGUCUGGUCGUGGAAAGAAUUUCGGUUGGGGAUGGACUCGCGGCCUAUCAGGUUGUUGGUGAGGUAAUGGCUCACCAAGCCUACGACGGGUAGCCGGCCUGAGAGGGUGACCGGCCACACUGGGACUGAGACACGGCCCAGACUCCUACGGGAGGCAGCAGUGGGGAAUAUUGCACAAUGGGCGAAAGCCUGAUGCAGCAACGCCGCGUGAGGGAUGACGGCCUUCGGGUUGUAAACCUCUUUUA